rnacentral:rRNA from 1 species
AUUGAACGCUGGCGGCAGGCCUAACACAUGCAAGUCGAACGAGUGGCGGACGGGUGAGUAAUGUCUGGGACACUGCCUGGUGGAGGGGGAUAACUACUGGACACGGUAGCUAAUACCGCAUACCCUCGGAUGUGCCCAGAUGGGCUUAGCUAGUAGGUGGGGUAACGGCUCACCUGGGCGACGAUCCCUAGCUGGUCUGAGAGGAUGACCAGCCACACUGGAACUGAGACACGGUCCAGACUCCUACGGGAGGCAGCAGUGGGGAAUAUUGCACAAUGGGCGCAAGCCUGAUGCAGCCAUGCCGCGUGUAUGAAGAAGGCCUUCGGGUUGUAAAGUACUUUCAGCGGGGAGGCGUUACCCGCAGAAGAAGCACCGGCUAACUCCGUGCCAGCAGCCGCGGGAAUUC